GUGGGUACAGCUCAGUGGCAGAGCACAUGAUUAGCAUGUACCUGGUCCUGGGUUCAAUCCCCAGUACUUCCA
rnacentral:tRNA from 1 species